GCUUAACACAUGCAAGUCGAGGGGCAUCAGGAAGAAAGCUUGCUUUCUUUGCUGGCGACCGACGCACGGGUGAGUAACACGUAUCCAACCUGCCCUUUACUCGGGGAUAGCCUUUCGAAAGAAAGAUUAAUACCCGAUAGCAUAAUGAUUCCGCAUGGUUUCAUUAUUAAAGGAUUCCGGUAAAGGAUGGGGAUGCGUUCCAUUAGGUUGUUGGUGAGGUAACGGCCCACCAAGCCUUCGAUGGAUAGGGGUUCUGAGAGGAAGGUCCCCCACAUUGGAACUGGGACACGGUCCAAACUCCUACGGGAGGCAGCAGUGAGGAAUAUUGGUCAAUGGGCGCUAGCCUGAACCAGCCAAGUAGCGUGAAGGAUGAAGGCUCUAUGGGUCGUAAACUUCUUUUAUAUAAGAAUAAAGUGCAGUAUGUAUACUGUUUUGUAUGUAUUAUAUGAAUAAGGAUCGGCUAACUCCGUGCCAGCAGCCGCGGUAAUACGGAGGAUCCGAGCGUUAUCCGGAUUUAUUGGGUUUAAAGGGAGCGUAGGUGGACUGGUAAGUCAGUUGUGAAAGUUUGCGGCUCAACCGUAAAAUUGCAGUUGAUACUGUCAGUCUUGAGUACAGUAGAGGUGGGCGGAAUUCGUGGUGUAGCGGUGAAAUGCUUAGAUAUCACGAAGAACUCCGAUUGCGAAGGCAGCUCACUGGACUGCAACUGACACUGAUGCUCGAAAGUGUGGGUAUCAAACAGGAUUAGAUACCCUGGUAGUCCACACAGUAAACGAUGAAUACUCGCUGUUUGCGAUAUACAGUAAGCGGCCAAGCGAAAGCAUUAAGUAUUCCACCUGGGGAGUACGCCGGCAACGGUGAAACUCAAAGGAAUUGACGGGGGCCCGCACAAGCGGAGGAACAUGUGGUUUAAUUCGAUGAUACGCGAGGAACCUUACCCGGGCUUAAAUUGCAGUGGAAUGAUGUGGAAACAUGUCAGUGAGCAAUCACCGCUGUGAAGGUGCUGCAUGGUUGUCGUCAGCUCGUGCCGUGAGGUGUCGGCUUAAGUGCCAUAACGAGCGCAACCCUUAUCUUUAGUUACUAACAGGUUAUGCUGAGGACUCUAGAGAGACUGCCGUCGUAAGAUGUGAGGAAGGUGGGGAUGACGUCAAAUCAGCACGGCCCUUACGUCCGGGGCUACACACGUGUUACAAUGGGGGGUACAGAAGGCAGCUAGCGGGUGACCGUAUGCUAAUCCCAAAAUCCUCUCUCAGUUCGGAUCGAAGUCUGCAACCCGACUUCGUGAAGCUGGAUUCGCUAGUAAUCGCGCAUCAGCCACGGCGCGGUGAAUACGUUCCCGGGCCUUGUACACACCGCCCGUCAAGCCAUGGGAGCCGGGGGUACCUGAAGUACGUAACCGCAAGGAUCGUCCUAGGGUAAAACUGGUGACUGGGGCUAAGUCAUAACA
rnacentral:rRNA from 1 species